rnacentral:rRNA from 1 species
UACGUAGGGUGCAAGCGUUAAUCGGAAUACUGGGCGUAAGGCGUGCGCAGGCGGUUUUGUAAGCCAGAUGUGAAAUCCCCGGGCUUAACCUGGGAACUGCAUUUGUGACUGCAUCGCUGGAGUGCGGCAGAGGGGGGGAUGGAAUUCCGCGUGUAGCAGUGAAAUGCGUAGAUAUGCGGAGGAACACCGAUGGCGAAGGCAAUCCCCUGGGCCUGCACUGACGCUCAUGCACGAAAGCGUGGGGAGCGAAACAAGGAUUGAGAAACCCC